AUUGCCUCAGUAACGGCGAGUGAAGCGGCAAGAGCUCAAAUUUGAAAUCUGGCUCCUCCGGGGUCCGAGUUGUAAUUUGCAGAGGAUGCUCUGGGAGUGGUCGCGGUCUAAGUCCCCUGGAACGGGGCGUCGCAGAGGGUGAGAAUCCCGUCUUCGGCCGGCCGGCCUCGCCCAUGUAGAGCUCCUUCGACGAGUCGAGUUGUUUGGGAAUGCAGCUCUAAAUGGGUGGUAAAUUUCAUCUAAAGCUAAAUACUGGUCGGAGACCGAUAGCGCACAAGUAGAGUGAUCGAAAGAUGAAAAGCACUUUGAAAAGAGAGUUAAACAGCAUGUGAAAUUGUUGAAAGGGAAGCGCUUGCGACCAGAGUCGGCCGCGGGGGUUAAGCGGGGGUCCUCCCCUGUGUACGUCCCCGCGGUUGGGCCAGCAUCAGUUCUGGCGGUCGGAUAAAGGCCCCGGGAAUGUGUCGUCCUUCGGGACGUCUUAUAGCCCGGGGUGUAAUACGGCCAGCCGGGACUGAGGAACGCGCUUCGGCACGGAUGCUGGCUUAAUGGUCGUAAGUGGCCCGUCUUGAAACACGGACCAAGGAGUCUAACAUCCACGCGAGUGUUCGGGUGACAAACCCGUCCGCGCAGUGAAAGCGAACGGAGGUGAGAGCCCCUUGAGGGUGCAUCAUCGACCGAUCCUGAAGUCUUCGGAUGGAUUUGAGUAUGAGCGUGGCUGUGGGGACCCGAAAGAUGGUGAACUAUGCCUGAAUAGGGUGAAGCCAGAGGAAACUCUGGUGGAGGCUCGCAGCGGUUCUGACGUGCAAAUCGAUCGUCAAAUUUGGGUAUAGGGCGAAGACUAAUCGAACCAUCU
rnacentral:rRNA from 1 species